AUCGAGCUUCCUGAACCUAAUAAGGCAAUGAGUUUCGACGCAUUGGGCUUAGUAUCCUUUUUAUCAAAGUUUUCAUUUUUUUGUGCUUGUCCCUUGCUCUGUUAGUUCUCAAUUUUUGCCUUAAUCUUCCUAUCUCCUGCACGUACAUUUUUGAAAUUGAAAUACAGACCCGUCAGCCUGAAGGUCGUCGGCCGGCUUGCGGUCCCUAUCAGCGCGACAGUGGUGCAAGGUGGGUCCGGCCGGACUCCGAAAAUGAUGAGCAUGACUUCCACCUCCAAGACGUUCAUAUCGCUCGUUGACGCGAAGUCGUGCCUUUAGUUUCCAGCCUCGCAAUUAGUUUGGCUACGCAGGUGCCACGUGAGGGCUCCACGGGUAUGAACGUCCAAGGCCAGUUCUAAUGGAAAUUUUAUAGCAUUUAAUUCUACACCACAUCAUUAAAUUUUAUAGCAUUAAAUUUUUUUUAAUUAAAAAAUAGUUUCAUGAUAAUAUAUUUUGCCAUAUUUUAUUAAAAAAAUUACAACAGAAAGGUAGCAGCCAAUGUGUUUGUGACUGGAGGGAGUGUUUUUCGAUCUCUCUAAGUCUAGCGGAGUGAUAUUGUGGAUUUACGCAGAGCGUACUAAUAAGUUCUCUUUCGACCUGAUAACUGAUCUAAUGUUCUGCAGAUCUAUCUUCAUCAACCUGGCGGUACGCACGGCACGUAAGUGACUAAGUGGGCAGUGCCAGUGCCCCAGUGGCGACCUUGACUAGCUAGCGCUGUGCUGUGCACCAGCCGAUAUCGACCAGCUAGCGCGAACAACGCGUCUGCAUAACGGAUUGAACAAAGCUGCCUGCUUGCUCUGGCACCGAUGGUACCGGGUACCAUUCCACUCGUCCUACGACGUUUCCUGUCUGAACUUUGGCCGGCUCAGAAGGCAGAAGCCGUGCAGCCUGUGUGGCUGUGUGCCCCACAAACCCAACAUGCAUCCAUGCGUCAAAGAGACCCAUGUACUACUAAUGUCAUGUGGCGAAGUACUGAACAUUCCGUGGGCUUUGCAACUGUUCUUCAUUGGACGUACUACUUACGUCAUGUACUACUUACAGAUUUGCCCAGCAAGAUGUGUAAUGAUUGGCAUCUGUUUUUUUUUUACAUUUUGCAUUCUUCAUGGUG
rnacentral:lncRNA from 1 species